rnacentral:tRNA from 1 species
GCACAUCCAUGACCUCGCCUCGCGAGAUUCGAACCCAGAAACUCACUGAAGACAAUUGGUGAAUGGU